rnacentral:lncRNA from 1 species
GCAACAGAAACACAGGACUCUCAGCAACAGAAACACAGGACUCUCCGCAACAGAAACACAGGACUCUCAGCAACAGAAACACAGGACUCUCCGCAACAGAAACACAGGACUCUCAGCAACAGAAACACAGGACUCUCAGCAACAGAAACACAGGACUCUGAGCAACAGAAACACAGGACUCUCCGCAACAGAUGAGGACAGCGUGACAACAAGAACAACAGUAACAAGGAACCGCCGCCGCGGAGAAGCAGAGACAGUCCGGCCUCAGUGUUUGUCGAGCCGCCGGCGCGCUGCUGCUGCUGCUCAUCACUCGGCCUGCGGCUCCAUCGCUCCCGCCCGUCCCGGAAAACACCAACAAAGCUUUCCUCCAACUUCUGCUGCUGUGCUCUUCUCUCCUGCAGCGGCGCUACAUUUUGGCGAGGUGAUGGUUAACACCUUCCUGGAAGACUCGCGCUGCGCUCAUUGAUUCGGUCGUGUUUGGUGGCGAAAUGACGUGAAUUCCUAGCAGUGAGGCGCAGCCCCCUUAAAGGGAAACCCUCUCAGGAAGUCGGGCUGUUUGUGCUCGAGCCGCCGGCCUCUGCUUUCCGCCCGUACUGAGACAGGCCACGCCCCCCCUGCGCGCCGAUUGGCCAACAGACCACAGUAACUGGUUAAAGCUGCACUGUGAGAUACUUGUGCUCCACAGUAACAAUAUGACAAGGAUAUCUUUAUUUAUAUGUACGAAAAGCUGCUUAUUUCACAACCUGCUACUUUAAUGUCUACUUACAUAUAGCAGCUAAACUGAUAAUAUGCUUCAAAAUUACAUCUACUGAUUUAUUAAUUAAAUAUAUUUCAAAUUAUGUUGGAUUUUAACACCAAACACACAAAUUAUAAAAUAACAAUGUACAAUACUGUGCUCCACAUUAACAAUAUGGCAUAUCUACAUAGGGUAUCUUUAUGUAUAUGUAUUAACGCUACUUAUUUCAGCAGCUACUACUGUAGUACCUACUUACAUAUAUCAGCUAAACUAGUUAAUGCUUUAAAAUGACAUAAACUUUUCAUCCCUGAAAUCCCUUUCCAGAAAGUGUAUCGCCA